GUCUGGCUCAGCCGGCCACUUCAACGUGGUGUCAGAGCUUACUACUCUCUUGCUGGGGAGGAAGCCAAGUGCCUG
rnacentral:ribozyme from 1 species